rnacentral:rRNA from 1 species
GACGAACGCUGGCGGCGUGCUUAACACAUGCAAGUCGAACGGAAAGGCCCUGCUUUUGUGGGUGCUCGAGUGGCGAACGGGUGAGUAACACGUGAGUAACCUGCCCUUGACUUUGGGAUAACUUCAGGAAACUGGGGCUAAUACCGGAUAGGAGCCCCUGCUGCAUGGUGGGGGUUGGAAAGCUUCGGCGGUUGGGGAUGGACUCGCGGCUUAUCAGCUUGUUGGUGGGGUAGUGGCUUACCAAGGCUUUGACGGGUAGCCGGCCUGAGAGGGUGACCGGCCACAUUGGGACUGAGAUACGGCCCAGACUCCUACGGGAGGCAGCAGUGGGGAAUAUUGCACAAUGGGCGGAAGCCUGAUGCAGCAACGCCGCGUGCGGGAUGACGGCCUUCGGGUUGUAAACCGCUUUCGCCUGUGACGAAGCGUGAGUGACGGUAAUGGGUAAAGAAGCACCGGCUAACUACGUG